GAUGAACGCUGGCGGCGUGCUUAACACAUGCAAGUCGAACGGAAAGGCUCCUGCUUGCAGGGGUACUCGAGUGGCGAACGGGUGAGUAACACGUGGGUGAUCUGCCCUGCACUUCGGGAUAAGCCUGGGAAACUGGGUCUAAUUCCGGAUAGGACGAUGGUUUGGAUGCCAUUGUGGAAAGUUUUUCGGUGUGGGAUGAGCUCGCGGCCUAUCAGCUUGUUGGUGGGGUAAUGGCCUACCAAGGCGUCGACGGGUAGCCGGCCUGAGAGGGUGUACGGCCACAUUGGGACUGAGAUACGGCCCAGACUCCUACGGGAGGCAGCAGUGGGGAAUAUUGCGCAAUGGGCGCAAGCCUGAUGCAGCGACGCCGCGUGGGGGAUGACGGCCUUCGGGUUGUAAACUCCUUUCGCUAGGGACGAAGCGCAAGUGACGGUACCUGGAGAAGAAGCACCGGCUAACUACGUG
rnacentral:rRNA from 1 species